rnacentral:rRNA from 2 species
GAUCAUACCAGCACCAAUCCACCGGAUCCCAUCAGAACUCCGCAGUUAAACGUGCUUGGGCGAGAGUAGUACUAGGAUGAGUGACCUAUUGGGAAGUCCUUGUGUUUAAAAAC